GAGGUUUAACAUUGCUGCUUUCUCUUCAAAGCCUCCACCAAGUCGUUCUUAAGAGCUUCUUGUUUUGAUUUGUCUGCGAAAGUCUGCACAGACCUGCAGAGGAGGAAAGGAGGGUUACACGUGGAUGGAACCAGAAGAGAUGUGGCACUGAGGGCCAGGCCAAGGCUCUGGGCCUGCUCCGGACCUGUACCCUCAGCACCAGCACCGGGCCUGGUUUCUGGAGAGGCACCGCCCACCGAUGAUGUCAGCUCCGCCCAGGCAGUGGGUGACCUGGUUCUAGCAACCAGGACCUAGGGCCACCGCUUUGGGCAGAAGAACCCAGUGGCAUGGGACCCGGAAGGUGGCUUCUGGCUGCAGAGCAGCUGCCCCAGGCUUCCAGCUGGACAUCUGGGCUGCGGCAGAGGGGGCCGGCUGCUCCUCUAGGUGUAGCAGGGCCCCACCCGGCGAGCUGAGCCGUUAGGAGCAGUGCCUCUGCGUGCCAAGGCAGCACAGGAAGGCCAGGUGCUUUUAGGCUUCUGCUCGGGGACUCAGCCAGGAUUCUGGAAGGCGGCACAGGAGUGAGCUCCUUGAAGAGGCAGACCCCUGCUCUCCCCUUACCCCUGGGAAGGGAUGAGGACUUUGAGCUCACUGAUGGUUCUAUUUUAAAUGAUACCAGCAGCCCAAGGAUCCAGAGCCACCUUUCAAUGAGAAGGGCUGAAAACACUGGAUACUCAAAAGGAGGUGGGGGAGUACAUGGGCUCCCCAGGAACAAAUAAGGGGCCCCUCGGUCAGGGCAGGAAA